rnacentral:rRNA from 1 species
GACGUAGGGCGCGAGCGUUGUCCGGAUUUAUUGGGCGUAAAGAGCUCGUAGGCGGCUUGUCACGUCGGGUGUGAAAGCCCGGGGCUUAACCCCGGGUCUGCAUUCGAUACGGGCAGGCUAGAGUUCGGUAGGGGAGACUGGAAUUCCUGGUGUAGCGGUGAAAUGCGCAGAUAUCAGGAGGAACACCGGUGGCGAAGGCGGUUCUCUGGGCAUUACCUGACGCUGAGGAGCGAAAGUGUGGGGAGCGAACAGG